rnacentral:rRNA from 1 species
GUAGCAAUACACGAGUGGCGCACGGGUGAGUAACGCGUAGAUAUCUGCCUUUUGGUUCGGAAUAACCCCGGGAAACUGGGGCUAAUACCGGAUGGUUCCUUCGGGAUAAAGAUUUAUCGCCAAAAGAUGAGUCCGCGUACGAUUAGCUAGUUGGUGAGGUAAUGGCUCACCAAGGCGACGAUCGUUAGCUGGUCUGAGAGGACGAUCAGCCACACUGGGACUGAAACACGGCCCAGACUCCUACGGGAGGCAGCAGUGGGGAAUAUUGGACAAUGGGGGCAACCCUGAUCCAGCCAUGCCGCGUGAGUGAUGAAGGCCUUCGGG